AUUGAACGCUGGCGGCAUGCCUUACACAUGCAAGUCGAACGGUAACAGGUCUUCGGAUGCUGACGAGUGGCGAACGGGUGAGUAAUACAUCGGAACGUGCCUAGUAGUGGGGGAUAACUACUCGAAAGAGUGGCUAAUACCGCAUGAGAUCUACGGAUGAAAGCAGGGGAUCGCAAGACCUUGUGCUACUAGAGCGGCCGAUGGCAGAUUAGGUAGUUGGUGGGAUAAAAGCUUACCAAGCCGACGAUCUGUAGCUGGUCUGAGAGGACGAUCAGCCACACGGGGACUGGGACACGGCCCAGCCUCCGACGGGAGGCAGCAGUGGGGCAUUUUGGACAAUGGGCGAAAGCCUGAUCCAGCAAUGCCGCGUGCAGGAUGAAGGCCUUCGGGUUGUAAGCUGCUUUUGUACGGAACGAAAAGCCCUGGGUUAAUACCCUGGGGUCAUGACGGUACCGUAAGAAUAAGCACCGGCUAACUACGUGCCAGCCGCCGCCGUAA
rnacentral:rRNA from 1 species